CGUACACAUGUUUCAACUAUCAGAAAGCGAGGGAGCACGCGCCACUUCGCACCUUCGGGCUGUUUUUGCGCGCUCGCUCGGAAGUUAAAACGCAAAGUUGGGAAGAAGUUCGCUGGAGGUAGUUUUCCGUGCACUUUGCCAAACGGAGCGUCGACAUUGUCUCGAGGCGUCGGCGGCGGCAUCACAGCAGCAGAGCCAUUGCCGGUGAACUAGUGAACUUACGAGGGCAUUAAUCAUUUUUGAUAUACAUUGUGAGUGUUAGUCGUGUGAUGCAUUCAUGACAAUCUAUUCAGUGUGAGCGUUCGGGGGAGUUAUUAUACGUAGGCAACCAACAAUUCACUACUUUUAGGAAGAAAUUGAUAUAUAAACAGGCGUCUACCUUUGACUAUUAAUGUUUUACUCCAACCAAAACCCAUUAAUUACUAAAAUUACAAGUAUUUAAAUUGUGGGCUAAUUGCAAGAUAUAUAUUACUGUAAAUUAUCAUAUACAGAAUGGAUUACAACACAAAUUCAUGUAUUUGUAAACUGUUGUCUUGUUCAUCACUCGUCACAUUGUCAUUAUUUGCAUUGAGGAUUGCGGAUUGCGAACGUUAUCGUGAUGGCAAUUGCGAUAUUGCGAUAUUGUGAUACGCAUUGCGCUGGCAAAUAAUACGUACAUUUGUCUGGAUGAUCCUGAUCUAUUGCGGACGAUUAUCCUCGCCACAGAAAUGGCGGAAUAUCAAAUAUGAAUAUAACUUUCGCGGCGCGCGUGCAUUUCUUUCAACAAUGCGCUCGUGUACAUCAUAUUCCCAAGCCGACUGCGCCGCAGAAAGCCAAGAUUUAUACGCAGAUAAGAAUUGCAAUAGCUAGAAAAUGGAAAUGGCGAAAUGAAACAAAUGAAAUGUAAGCAGAAAUUAACAUUUUUGCGUAUGAAAAUUGAGAUAAUACUCGAAUGCGAUUAUUCUUCGUGGAACAAAAGAAAGUUUUUAAUGAAAAGCAUUAUAAUUCUAAAAUAAAUGCUUAAAUAAAAAUUUAUUAAAAUAUCAUUUGAUUUAAUUGUCAAAUGCUUCUAGAAUAUUUACCUAUUUAUGCUGCAAGACCUUGCU